GAGGUCCUUGGAUUGUAAACCUCUUUUAUCAGGGAAGAAGUUCUGACGGUACCUGAUGAAUAAGCAUCGGCUAACUCCGUGCCAGCAGCCGCGGUAAUACGGAGGAUGCAAGCGUUAUCCGGAAUUAUUGGGCGUAAAGCGUCCGUAGGUGGUUAUGCAAGUCUGCCGUUAAAGAAUGGAGCUUAACUCCAUAGGAGCGGUGGAAACUGCAAGACUAGAGUACAGUAGGGGUAGCAGGAAUUCCCAGUGUAGCGGUGAAAUGCGUAGAUAUUGGGAAGAACAUCGGUGGCGAAAGCGUGCUACUGGGCUGAAACUGACACUGAGGGACGAAAGCUAGGGUAGCGAAAGGGAUUAGAUC
rnacentral:rRNA from 1 species